AGAGAAGAAACGGAGAGACCGGAUUAACCAGCGUUUAGAUGAGCUGCGAACGCUUCUCCUGGAUAACACUCUAGACACGCGACUUCAAAACCCUAAACUGGAGAAGGCUGAAAUUCUGGAAUUAACUGUUGAAUACAUUCGGACAAAAGCCACAGUUGCGAGAGAUAGGCCUAGUCAAGGUAACUCCAACAAAGACUCAGACCCACAUGAUGCUUACGCUCCGACUCUGCUCUCGAGGAGACCC